CCCUUAGAUGUUCUGGGCCGCACGCGCGCUACACUGACGAAGUCAGCGAGCAUGUCCUACGCCGACAGGUGCGGGGAAUCUUGUCAAACUUCGUCGUGAUGGGGAUUGAUUAUUGAAAUUCUUGAUCAUCAACGAGGAAUUCCUAGUAAGCGCAAGUCAGCAGCUUGCGUUGAUUACGUCCCUGCCCUUUGUACACACCGCCCGUCGCUACUACCGAUUGAAUGGUUUAGUGAGAUCUUCGGAUUGGCGCCACUGCGGCUCAGCAAUGGGCUCGGUGGAUGCCGAAAAGGUGAUCAAACUUGAUCAUUUAGAGGAAGUAAAAGUCGUAACA
rnacentral:rRNA from 1 species